rnacentral:rRNA from 1 species
GACGAACGCUGGCGGCGUGCCUAAUACAUGCAAGUUGAGCGCUGAAGGUUGGUACUUGUACCGACUGGAUGAGCAGCGAACGGGUGAGUAACGCGUGGGGAAUCUGCCUUUGAGCGGGGGACAACAUUUGGAAACGAAUGCUAAUACCGCAUAAAAACUUUAAACACAAGUUUUAAGUUUGAAAGAUGCAAUUGCAUCACUCAAAGAUGAUCCCGCGUUGUAUUAGCUAGUUGGUGAGGUAAAGGCUCACCAAGGCGAUGAUACAUAGCCGACCUGAGAGGGUGAUCGGCCACAUUGGGACUGGGACACGGCCCAAACUCCUACGGGAGGCAGCAGUAGGGAAUCUUCGGCAAUGGACGAAAGUCUGACCGAGCAACGCCGCGUGAGUGGAGAAGGUUUUCGGAUCGUAAAACUCUGUUGGUAGGGAAGAACGUUGGUGAGAGUGGAAAGCUCAUCAAGUGACGGUAACUACCCAGAAAGGGACGGCUAACUACGUG